GAAUGCACCGCGGCCGCAGCUUGCUUAUGGACAGCGCUAACAGAGAUCACAGUGGGACCACAGAAGGAACCCAGGCCCUCAUCAACUGGCGUAUUCCCAAUGAGGGCCUAUUUACAGGCAGGAGGAACUCCUCCAAAACCGAAUGGCAGACAAGAAGGUAAGAGAUCUUAAUGGCAACUGGCGGGCGAUAGAGCGUCAGGGAGGUGAUUGGGUCCAGGAGGCA